rnacentral:lncRNA from 1 species
CCGCCGUAGGUUCUAAAGGGUCAGCCUUAAGACCAGGCUUGACACCUCAACUGUUUUGAUGGUAGUUAUCUAUGGUAUAGUAUGGUAUGGUUAAUAAGGUAACCCUAUUUUUUGAUUAUUUCCUAAAAUUUAUGUUAUGGUAUGGUUUAAUUCAUGAUUUGGUAACCAUGAAAACCCACACUUUUUGUAACAACUAAUUUGUUGGAAUCCUAUAGUUUGUUUUUUUGCAAUUAUGCCUUUAUU